rnacentral:lncRNA from 1 species
AGAUAAGUCUUAGCCUCCUGCUGUGUCUCAGUUUCCCCUCCUGUGCCCCAGGGACGUUCUGCCUGGCUGCUGCUGUGCGAGCGGCGCAGUGUGCACGUGGGAUGGUUGGGCUGGCUGAGAGCUAGGUGACCCAAGGAAGUCUACCUGCAGCUAUCUGCAAGGCUUGGUGCCGCGGCAGAGUCAGCGAAAGAACUAAACUGGAACUCCAUCAGCUCGAGGGAAUACGAUCUCCAGUCCCAGCCAACUGAGCCCUGGUGGAUGAAAAUAACGUUUGAUUCUAAACUGACUGGAAGUGAGUUAGUGGCAGAGGUAUUACACUGAAGUGUCACCGCAGCAAACCUCACAGAAGAGAAGUAAUAAUUAAAUGCCUUUCAAAGACCAGGAUUCGAGUCCUGAAGCUACAACAUUUGAAAGCUGUACCCCCUGAAGACCACUCUGAGGUACUUAUAACGCAGACACUGAAUGGCAGUCAGACUAAGCGCUGACAGUAAAGUAAAUUAAAAUAAUUGAAGGGAGCAGUAUAGUAUACAGUACAAUUUAUAGAGAGUCAG